UCCCCCAGCCUGUCCUCUCCAAGCCACCUUGCCGACACCUGCCACGGUCCCCACGUCUCCAGGCUCCCAGCCACUACAGCCAGGAUGGCCCAGGCCCCUGGGGACCCUGAUGAAACAGACGCACCAGCCUGAAGACUCAGUCCGCCAGCCCUAUGGGCUCGGCCCUCACUCUGAUCUCCGACCCCACGACCCCUCGGCUCCUUUGGGGUCAGACCUCGAGCAGAGCAUCCUGCAGGUGCUGAGGGACGCUGGCUCCCCCAUGAAGUCCGUCCAGUUGGCAAAGGAGUGCCAAGUGCCCAAGAAGAAUCUCAACCAAGUCCUCUACCGGAUGCUGAAGGAGUCCAAAGUCUCCCUGGAAGGCCCUGCGAUGUGGGGCCUGGGCCAGGGUGGGACCAGAGAAGUGGAGCCCGCAGAGCCGGCCCGGCCCAGCCAGGCAGAGCAGCCCCAGCAGGACGUGGCUGCAGCUCCAGAGGAACCUGGCCGUCAGCUCACUAAACAGCAGGAAGAGAUCUACAGGAUUCUGAAAACCCAUGGGCCCUGUAAGGCCCUGACCAUCUCCCAGAAGCUGGGAAAGAAGACAGCGAAAGAAGUCAACCCAGACUUGUACGCCAUGAGGAGGAAGCACCUUCUGGACUUGGAUGAGAAGUCAAGUACAUGGGCAGUUUAUCGGCCAGACUUGGCAGGAAGAAAUCCGGCCCCUGCAAUAAUUUACCAGAAAAAUCCAAUCAACAUGAUCUGUCAGAAUGGACCCAAUAACCACAUUUCCAUUGAAAACUCCGAAAGCAUCCAGAUUGGACAUGGGAAUGUCAUCGUGAGACCGACAGCCUCUGGAGAGAAUGGCUCCAUGGCUCCCCUCCACCUCCCCCCAGUGGCACCAGCUGACCCCUCAUCUCAGACAUCUCUGGCUGCAGCCUGGGGAUCCCAGGACAUCUGCUUGGAGAAGUCUGUGCUCAGACGGGUACAGAUGGGACACGGCAACAACAUGAACCUCAACAGUGCCCCGGCCAAGGACCCUACAGCCCGCAGCCCCUCAAUCAGCCCCCCAGUCUGUGCCCCCACGGAUGGCCCAGAAGCUUUGUUCGAAAUUCGAAUGCCCAAACCAGGACCUUCUGCUGAGGAGGAGGUGGCCCAGAGAGUCCGUAUCCGUUCAUGCUUCCUUGAGGACACCGCCAUCGGCAACAGCAACAGAAUGACUGUCAGCUCGGAGACAGCUGGUCCAGAAGGAGCUGUAAGGCCUGAGGACAUCAAGAGGGACCCUGGGGAGCCAGGCAAGGAUGCAGGCGUCGUGGCAGGCGCUGGGGUGCCACAGCGAGUGAUGGUCCCUCUCGGAGAGAGGAUACUUUGUUGCAGCAAAGAGACCCUCUAACCAGAGUGGCUCCUACCUGCGGGAGGCUCAGCACACAGGCGAGGGGGGCCGUCCAGGCUGGCGGGAGGUACAGAACCCGGGCUCUCCCGGGGGCUCUGCACACAUCUGGGGACAUAGACGCUGCAGAGGCCCAGCCAUCCGCCUUCCACCGAGCACACGCACACUCCCGGCCUCAGUCCGUGGGCUUGCUCUUGGCCUCCAGAGGGGCUGGGAAGUGGCACCUGAGCCCGGCUGAGACUCAGGAGAAGGGGCUUCAUGGCCAACAGGACGUCGCUGGGCAGCUGGACGCCCGGCACAGCUCCUAACCCCUGGUUGUGGAGGCAGGCGACAGAGGCAGGAACGAGGUGGCGGUGGCCGAGGGAAGGUGCACCCGGUGGGCCGAGGCGUGUGGGCGGCAAGCGAGAACAGGAUGGUGGGUGAACAGAAGUGUGAGUGCGACCUGUGCACGCGUCGGGGAUGGCAGAGGCCAGAGCCUGGUGCCACACCAUGGCGGGGACGUUGGCCUCCAUCCACGGCUGUCAGGAACCACAGAGGGGAUGUGGGCACGAGAGGCAUGACGGGACUUCUGCCUUCAGAACGAAGGAAGGAUCAGGAGGAGGGCCGCAGCUCCCGACACUGGGAUUUGGAGGAAGGAGUCGUGCUGUCGCCCCACAUGGUUAGAACACCUAGACUAGACCUUGCCAGCAUCCACCAGCCGGCACCACAGGCCCCUGGGCACUUGUGCUGGACGCCAAGAGUGUCUUUCCAUCCUGAUGACCAUGUCCUUGAACUUCCAACAGCGAGAGGAGUCCGUCGAGAGAAGGUGCCCUCUUCCCCACUUCCCAGAAACCUCUACGGAGGCCCACAGGGACACUGGGGGUGGGGGGCCCCCACCUGGUCUUAGGUGGAACCAGCCAAGACUCCUCUUUGGGGGAAAGAAACACAGUCCUCUGAUUCUGAAAGAUAGCUAAUGCCCCCUCCUUUGUCCCUCCCCAAGGAAUCAGCAGUGGCACUGACAAAGCCUUUUUCACUCUGCACUCCUACCCACCGUCCUCACUGGCCUGAGGAACACCUGACUUCUUACUCAGGUGACGGGCAGGAUCCCAUCCUAGGACGUGGAAGGCCCGGCAGGUCUUCCUCUUGGGGGAAAUGGAUGGUCAGGGUCUGUCAGUGCCGUGGAGGGCAGCACCCUCUUUGGGGUCUCUGUGAGCUGAGGCUCCUGGACAGGCUGUCAGUAGGGGUGCCUGCAGCUCCCAGCCCCCAGCUGCUCGGCUCGCUGCGGUGACACCCUGAUGGGAUCGGGAACAUGACUUUGGGGACCCAGUGCAAUACGGAAAAGGGGCCCCUGAUUCAGCUUCAUCAGAAUUUCAAGACAGAGCCGAGCUUUGAACGAACCCAGGCUCCGUCUGAACAUGGGCCCAGGCCACGGGUCCGUGAAGCUGGCCCUCCUUGGAGGCUUCUGGAACAGGACCCCUCCUCUAGUCCGUACCCACCCCCCAAGUCACUCAGACCCUCGAGUCUUCCCGGAAAUAAUGCUGCAGCCACCUUAGACCUUCUUCUGUAUUUCCUCUACUGGGAAGAAGAAGUUCAUUCCCUUCCCAGUUCUGGCCCUGCCCUUGCCCUAAACCACUCCUUCACCUGGACGCACAGCCGUGAACAAGUCAGAGAAACAUUCUGGGGACGAAGACAGGCAGCUCACAAAGCAAUCAAGCCUUUUGAGGAAAGCCGGGCACCGUAAAACAAACAAACAAACAAACAAAAACAAUAAAACCUGGGAGGGGUGGGCAAUGCCAUGAUGGGCAAGGCGCUGCCUUGAUGGGGGCAAUCAGAGAGACCUCCAGGAGGAGGAGGCAUCUGAGGGGGAAGCAGCCAGCCAAGCAAAGAUCCGGGAAGGCACUGCGGGUGGAGGGGACAGCACGUGCAAGGGUCCUGUUCAGAGUCCUGCAGGAACCUAGGGAGCAAGAGCGAGCGCGUCCUGCCAGCUGCGUUUCUCCGAGCUGGGAAGCCCAGAAGAAAGGUCUGGAUCUUCUUAAAAGUGCACUGGGGAGCCCCUGGCGGGUUUUGAGCAGGAGCAAGUGUUAAAGUCUCACCAAAGACCGUGAGGGGACAGAACCAAGGGGGGCCCGGGGAAAGACGGGAGCUACUGCGCCGUCCAGGUGCAGAGCCUCGAAGCCAGUUCCCUCACCACCGUGACCAGGCCCCCCCCGGCAACAGCGACGUCUUGACCUUCAUCUCCGACCUCGAAGCUG